rnacentral:rRNA from 1 species
UAAUACAGAGGGGGCGAGCGUUGUUCGGAAUUACUGGGCGUAAAGGGCGCGUAGGCGGCCACCUCAGUCGGACGUGAAAUCCCCGGGCUCAACCCGGGAACUGCGUCCGAUACUGGGUGGCUAGAGUCCGGGAGAGGGAAGUGGAAUUCCAGGUGUAGCGGUGAAAUGCGUAGAUAUCUGGAGGAACACCGGUGGCGAAGGCGGCUUCCUGGACCGGAACUGACGCUGAGGCGCGAAAGCCAGGGGAGCAAACGGGAUUAGAUACCCCGGUAGUCCUGGCCCUAAACGAUGAAUGCUUGGUGUGGCGGGUAUCGAUCCCCGCCGUGCCGGCGCUAACGCAUUAAGCAUUCCGCCUGGGGAGUACGGUCGCAAGGCUG